rnacentral:rRNA from 1 species
UACGUCGGGGGCAAGCGUUGUCCGGAAUUAUUGGGCGUAAAGAGCUUGUAGGCGGUUUGUCGCGUCUGCCGUGAAAAUCCGGGGCUCAACCCCGGACUUGCGGUGGGUACGGGCAGACUAGAGUGUGGUAGGGGAGACUGGAAUUCCUGGUGUAGCGGUGAAAUGCGCAGAUAUCAGGAGGAACACCGAUGGCGAAGGCAGGUCUCUGGGCCACUACUGACGCUGAGGCGCGAAAGCCAGGGGAGCGAACGGG